UUUUAUUUAUUAAAUUAUUUGUAAUUUUUAUGAUUGGGUUGGGUUGGGUUGGGUACUUGGGUUAAUAUAUAUUAGAUUAGGUAUUUGGGUUUAUGUUGGAUUGGGUUUGAGUGAAUAGUGGGCUAUUUAUAUUGUAAAUAGGCCAAUUUGCCCGGGCCCGAAGAAGAACCCAAAAUACAAAAUAAUAAACAAAAAAAUAUUAACAGUCCAUUAAAUGUCCUGGCCCAAUUACAUGACCCAAGACCCAAAUAACAAUCCCAUUUACAGAUAAACCCAGACCCAAAGUUAUAUCGGCCCAAAAGGCCCGAAACAUUUCAGGAAUAGAAAACCUAGGGUUUUGUUCCCCUUUGCGCCGCAGCCACGUUCAGUCUCCAUGCGCCUUCAGCACCGUACGACCACCACGCGCCCCUCCGUACGCCUCACGCCAAGCGCCAGCACAGCCCUGUACUCCGUACCUGCGAAAGAAAACAAACGAAAACAGCAACAGAGUAGUAGCCAAUACGAAAGCAAAGAAAGAAAAAUUGUAUUUUUUAUUUUAUUUUGAUUUUGGCUAUAAAGCCUUGUGGAUUUCGAUUGUAAAGGGCUCUUUUUUUUUACGCGCAUACUACACAAAUUCAAUACAAAGAACCAGCAAAAAAUCAGAAGGUGAUUUGAAUCUUUUUCGUCUUCAAUAUUUUUUUCUUUGCAUGUACCUUGUUUUCUUUUAGAACAUUUUUGAAAAAAAAGAAGAAAGAGAAACGAGAAAUUUACCUUUGUGGAUGCAUCGAUGAGAUCUCGUCUUCUCCGUCAAAGUCGGGGUUAGAGAUGCGAGUGGAAAUGGCUUUUAAGUGUCGAUUUUGAUGGAAACAAAGAAGGCUUCUACGUCUCUCACCAAUUUUAAGGGUGAAUUGAUGAUUAAAUGGCCCUAGGGGAUAAAGGUUGCUGCGCCGAAACCCUAACAAUUGGGUAUUCGGUUUGCAGCUUGGAAAAAUGACAAAAUGCCAUUCAUUUUCUUUAAAUUUUAAGCAUACAACGAAACGACGCCGUUUCAAGGGGAAGGGUCAUGCGUCAACCCGCUCUGGGACGUGGACCCGCACUUUUGUGUUUCGAAUGGGAUAUUUGCACGCCAAGUCCUCCCCUUUCGCAUGCGCAGUCAAUUGCGUCUAGUUUGUUUUGUUUCUUUUUUUUUUAAUUUAGACUUGUAAUUUGCG
rnacentral:lncRNA from 1 species